ACAGCAGCAGCCGCGGGAAUACGUAGGGUGCAAGCGUUAAUCGGAAUUACUGGGCGUAAGGCGUGCGCAGGCGGUUAUAUAAGUCAGAUGUGAAAUCCCCGGGCUCAACCUGGGAACUGCAUUUGAGACUGUAUGGCUAGAGUGUGUCAGAGGGGGGUAGAAUUCCACGUGUAGCAGUGAAAUGCGUAGAUAUGUGGAGGAAUACCGAUGGCGAAGGCAGCCCCCUGGGAUAACACUGACGCUCAUGCACGAAAGCGUGGGGAGCAAACAGGAUUAGAUACCCCUGUAGUCCCUGUCUCUUAUAC
rnacentral:rRNA from 1 species